AGAGUUUGAUCCUGGCUCAGAUUGAACGCUAGCGGGAUGCUUUACACAUGCAAGUCGAACGGCAGCACAAGAGAGCUUGCUCUCUUGGUGGCGAGUGGCGGACGGGCGAGUAAUAUAUCGGAACGUGCCCAGUAGCGGGGGAUAACUACUCGAAAGAGUGGCUAAUACCGCAUACGCCCUACGGGGGAAAGGGGGGGAUUCUUCGGAACCUCUCACUAUUGGAGCGGCCGAUAUCGGAUUAGCUAGUUGGUGGGGUAAAGGCUCACCAAGGCAACGAUCCGUAGCUGGUUUGAGAGGACGACCAGCCACACUGGGACUGAGACACGGCCCAGACUCCUACGGGAGGCAGCAGUGGGGAAUUUUGGACAAUGGGGGAAACCCUGAUCCAGCCAUCCCGCGUGUAUGAUGAAGGCCUUCGGGUUGUAAAGUACUUUUGGCAGAGAAGAAAAGGUAUCUCCUAAUACGAGAUACUGCUGACGGUAUCUGCAGAAUAAGCACCGGCUAACUACGUGCCAGCAGCCGCGGUAAUACGUAGGGUGCAAGCGUUAAUCGGAAUUACUGGGCGUAAAGCGUGUGUAGGCGGUUCGGAAAGAAAGAUGUGAAAUCCCAGGGCUCAACCUUGGAACUGCAUUUUUAACUGCCGAGCUAGAGUAUGUCAGAGGGGGGUAGAAUUCCACGUGUAGCAGUGAAAUGCGUAGAUAUGUGGAGGAAUACCGAUGGCGAAGGCAGCCCCCUGGGAUAAUACUGA
rnacentral:rRNA from 1 species